AGCGUACACGGUGGAUGCCCUGGCAGUCAGAGGCGAUGAAGGACGUGCUAAUCUGCGAUAAGCGUCGGUAAGGUGAUAUGAACCGUUAUAACCGGCGAUUUCCGAAUGGGGAAACCCAGUGUGAUUCGUCACACUAUCAUUAACUGAAUCCAUAGGUUAAUGAGGCGAACCGGGGGAACUGAAACAUCUAAGUACCCCGAGGAAAAGAAAUCAACCGAGAUUCCCCCAGUAGCGGCGAGCGAACGGGGAGCAGCCCAGAGCCUGAAUCAGUGUGUGUGUUAGUGGAAGCGUCUGGAAAGGCGCGCGAUACAGGGUGACAGCCCCGUACACAAAAAUGCACAUGCUGUGAGCUCGAUGAGUAGGGCGGGACACGUGGUAUCCUGUCUGAAUAUGGGGGGACCAUCCUCCAAGGCUAAAUACUCCUGACUGACCGAUAGUGAACCAGUACCGUGAGGGAAAGGCGAAAAGAACCCCGGCGAGGGGAGUGAAAAAGAACCUGAAACCGUGUACGUACAAGCAGUGGGAGCACGCUUAGGCGUGUGACUGCGUACCUUUUGUAUAAUGGGUCAGCGACUUAUAUUCUGUAGCAAGGUUAACCGAAUAGGGGAGCCGAAGGGAAACCGAGUCUUAACUGGGCGUUAAGUUGCAGGGUAUAGACCCGAAACCCGGUGAUCUAGCCAUGGGCAGGUUGAAGGUUGGGUAACACUAACUGGAGGACCGAACCGACUAAUGUUGAAAAAUUAGCGGAUGACUUGUGGCUGGGGGUGAAAGGCCAAUCAAACCGGGAGAUAGCUGGUUCUCCCCGAAAGCUAUUUAGGUAGCGCCUCGUGAAUUCAUCUCCGGGGGUAGAGCACUGUUUCGGCAAGGGGGUCAUCCCGACUUACCAACCCGAUGCAAACUGCGAAUACCGGAGAAUGUUAUCACGGGAGACACACGGCGGGUGCUAACGUCCGUCGUGAAGAGGGAAACAACCCAGACCGCCAGCUAAGGUCCCAAAGUCAUGGUUAAGUGGGAAACGAUGUGGGAAGGCCCAGACAGCCAGGAUGUUGGCUUAGAAGCAGCCAUCAUUUAAAGAAAGCGUAAUAGCUCACUGGUCGAGUCGGCCUGCGCGGAAGAUGUAACGGGGCUAAACCAUGCACCGAAGCUGCGGCAGCGACGCUUAUGCGUUGUUGGGUAGGGGAGCGUUCUGUAAGCCUGUGAAGGUGUACUGUGAGGUAUGCUGGAGGUAUCAGAAGUGCGAAUGCUGACAUAAGUAACGAUAAAGCGGGUGAAAAGCCCGCUCGCCGGAAGACCAAGGGUUCCUGUCCAACGUUAAUCGGGGCAGGGUGAGUCGACCCCUAAGGCGAGGCCGAAAGGCGUAGUCGAUGGGAAACAGGUUAAUAUUCCUGUACUUGGUGUUACUGCGAAGGGGGGACGGAGAAGGCUAUGUUGGCCGGGCGACGGUUGUCCCGGUUUAAGCGUGUAGGCUGGUUUUCCAGGCAAAUCCGGAAAAUCAAGGCUGAGGCGUGAUGACGAGGCACUACGGUGCUGAAGCAACAAAUGCCCUGCUUCCAGGAAAAGCCUCUAAGCAUCAGGUAACAUCAAAUCGUACCCCAAACCGACACAGGUGGUCAGGUAGAGAAUACCAAGGCGCUUGAGAGAACUCGGGUGAAGGAACUAGGCAAAAUGGUGCCGUAACUUCGGGAGAAGGCACGCUGAUAUGUAGGUGAAGUCCCUUGCGGAUGGAGCUGAAAUCAGUCGAAGAUACCAGCUGGCUGCAACUGUUUAUUAAAAACACAGCACUGUGCAAACACGAAAGUGGACGUAUACGGUGUGACGCCUGCCCGGUGCCGGAAGGUUAAUUGAUGGGGUUAGCGCAAGCGAAGCUCUUGAUCGAAGCCCCGGUAAACGGCGGCCGUAACUAUAACGGUCCUAAGGUAGCGAAAUUCCUUGUCGGGUAAGUUCCGACCUGCACGAAUGGCGUAAUGAUGGCCAGGCUGUCUCCACCCGAGACUCAGUGAAAUUGAACUCGCUGUGAAGAUGCAGUGUACCCGCGGCAAGACGGAAAGACCCCGUGAACCUUUACUAUAGCUUGACACUGAACAUUGAGCCUUGAUGUGUAGGAUAGGUGGGAGGCUUUGAAGUGUGGACGCCAGUCUGCAUGGAGCCGACCUUGAAAUACCACCCUUUAAUGUUUGAUGUUCUAACGUUGACCCGUGAUCCGGGUUGCGGACAGUGUCUGGUGGGUAGUUUGACUGGGGCGGUCUCCUCCUAAAGAGUAACGGAGGAGCACGAAGGUUGGCUAAUCCUGGUCGGACAUCAGGAGGUUAGUGCAAUGGCAUAAGCCAGCUUGACUGCGAGCGUGACGGCGCGAGCAGGUGCGAAAGCAGGUCAUAGUGAUCCGGUGGUUCUGAAUGGAAGGGCCAUCGCUCAACGGAUAAAAGGUACUCCGGGGAUAACAGGCUGAUACCGCCCAAGAGUUCAUAUCGACGGCGGUGUUUGGCACCUCGAUGUCGGCUCAUCACAUCCUGGGGCUGAAGUAGGUCCCAAGGGUAUGGCUGUUCGCCAUUUAAAGUGGUACGCGAGCUGGGUUUAGAACGUCGUGAGACAGUUCGGUCCCUAUCUGCCGUGGGCGCUGGAGAACUGAGGGGGGCUGCUCCUAGUACGAGAGGACCGGAGUGGACGCAUCACUGGUGUUCGGGUUGUCAUGCCAAUGGCACUGCCCGGUAGCUAAAUGCGGAAGAGAUAAGUGCUGAAAGCAUCUAAGCACGAAACUUGCCCCGAGAUGAGUUCUCCCUGACUCCUUGA
rnacentral:rRNA from 1 species